rnacentral:rRNA from 1 species
CGGCGUGCUUACACAUGCAAGUCGAACGAUGAAGCCCUUCGGGGUGGAUUAGUGGCGAACGGGUGAGUAACACGUGGGCAAUCUGCCCUUCACUCUGGGACAAGCCCUGGAAACGGGGUCUAAUACCGGAUAACACUCUGUCCCGCAUGGGACGGGGUUGAAAGCUCCGGCGGUGAAGGAUGAGCCCGCGGCCUAUCAGCUUGUUGGUGGGGUAAUGGCCUACCAAGGCGACGACGGGUAGCCGGCCUGAGAGGGCGACCGGCCACACUGGGACUGAGACACGGCCCAGACUCCUACGGGAGGCAGCAGUGGGGAAUAUUGCACAAUGGGCGAAAGCCUGAUGCAGCGACGCCGCGUGAGGGAUGACGGCCUUCGGGUUGUAAACCUCUUUCAGCAGGGAAGAAGCGAAAGUGACGGUACCUGCAGAAGAAGCGCCGGCUAACUACGUGCCAGCAGCCGCGGUAAUACGUAGGGCGCAAGCGUUGUCCGGAAUUAUUGGGCGUAAAGAGCUCGUAGGCGGCUUGUCACGUCGGAUGUGAAAGCCCGGGGCUUAACCCCGGGUCUGCAUUCGAUACGGGCUAGCUAGAGUGUGGUAGGGGAGAUCGGAAUUCCUGGUGUAGCGGUGAAAUGCGCAGAUAUCAGGAGGAACACCGGUGGCGAAGGCGGAUCUCUGGGCCAUUACUGACGCUGAGGAGCGAAAGCGUGGGGAGCGAACAGGAUUAGAUACCCUGGUAGUCCACGCCGUAAACGUUGGGAACUAGGUGUUGGCGACAUUCCACGUCGUCGGUGCCGCAGCUAAC